UUUUAUCAUCAGAGGUUCAACUCCUCUCCCUAACA
rnacentral:tRNA from 1 species